AAAAGAGCGCUGGAGAUGUCCUUGGCUGAGUCGGCUCGCAGCACAGUCCAACAGCCAACGCUCAGCCCUCAGGAGCAGGAGGAUCUGGCUCUGGCUCAGGCCCUUGCUGCUAGUGAAGAAGAGUACAGACGCCAGCAGCGGAGACAACAGGAGAGAGAGUCCUCCAAGCAGUCUUCCUGCAGCCUAUCAUAAACCCAGACCAGUGUCUGAGCCCAAACUGCUACCACCAGUAAUCAACUAGCAACUGUGCUACAUCGAUGGAACCCUCCAGCAGAACUCUAACGUCCAGUAUCACUGAUCCCAACUAAUGAACAGUCUGGAACUUUCAUCGAGAUAUAUUGAAUAGUAUCACUGCUUUCUCUCUACUCAGCACACCAUUCUAGACAGACUUUGUCCUUUUAACCAAUGGCUCUCUAUGUACAUAUUUUCUAUGUUGAUCAUGGACAUUUAACCUCAGCAUCAAUGUUUCUUGAAUAAAUUAUUUUAAAGAUG